UAGUAAUGCAUCGUAUCGGUGUUAAUAGCAUCCCGCUACCGUCCACCCUCCUCCCCUCUGAAACCUUCAUUACUGAGCAACUUCUUCCCCGUUUUCACCGUCAGAUCAGGGAUCCAGGUCACCUGGACAACAUGUGGACACUUUUCUGUCUAAUGUUUGAGUCGUGAAAGCUCACGCGGACGUAUGGAUACAGUUGGAGGUGACAACUGGCGGAGACGCACGAGGAGCUCGCGAGCGUGCUGCAGACGACAAACAAGAGCGCCAACUGACGAGUCCAGUGUGCUGCGGUGUCUGAGCGUGGGAAACACGGAAGAAGACCAUGACAUGGAGGAGGACACCGGCCUCUUCAAGCAGGGCAGCCUGGAGCGGAGGGUCAUGGCACCCCGCUACAGCCUGCUGCGGGAGGUUGGAAGGGGAACAUACGGCGUGGUGUAUGAAGCGUUGGCCCGGAGAUCCGGAGCUAAAGUCGCCGUGAAGAAGCUGCGGUGCGACGCACCGGAAAACGUGGAGCUGGCCCUGCAGGAGUUUUGGGCGCUGGCGAGUUUGGAGAAGCGGCACCAGAAUGUGGUGCAGCUGGAGGAGUGUGUGCUGCAGAGGAACGGUAUGGCCCAGAAAAUGAGUCACGGGAACAAACGGUCCAAGCAGUACCUGCGCCUGGUGGAGACCUCACUGAAAGGUGAGAGGGUGCUAAGUCCUCCAGAGGAGCCGUGUUACCUCUGGUUUGUCAUGGAGUUCUGUGAAGGUGGAGACCUCAACCAGUUCAUCCUGUCUCGGCGACCCGACCCACGAACCAACAACAGCUUCAUGCUCCAGCUGACCAGCGCAGUUGCUUUCCUGCAUGAGAACAACAUCGUCCACAGAGACCUGAAGCCAGACAACAUCCUCAUCUCAGAGAAGUCGGGGACUCCGGUCCUCAAGGUGGCCGACUUCGGCUUGAGUAAGGUCUGUGCUGGUUUGGGUAACGCCAGCGAUGGCAAAGAUGGGGAAGAUAAGAACAAAAACGUCAACGUCAACAAGUUCUGGUUGUCGUCAGCGUGUGGUUCAGACUUCUACAUGGCCCCUGAAGUGUGGGAGGGCCACUACACCGCCAAGGCAGACAUAUUCGCCCUGGGCAUCAUCAUCUGGGCCAUGCUGGAGAGGAUCACUUUUAUCGACGCAGAGUCUAAGCGGGAGCUGCUGGGGACAUACGUGAGACAGGGAGCAGACAUUGUGCCGGUAGGUGAGGCACUACUAGAGAACCCAAAGAUGGUGCUGAGCAUCCCACAGAAACGCAGAUCAUGCAUGUCUGACGGCGUGAGGAAGCUGCUUCAAGACAUGCUUGCCGUUAACCCUCAGGAUCGGCCCGACGCCUUUGAGCUGCAGGCCAGAAUGGACCAGGUUAUGUGUGCUGCGUGACCCUGGACUGCACUGUUUUACAGACGUGUCUCAACCUGGAGCUGCUACAUCACCGAGGGUCACCUGUGCUCACCUGAAGACUGUGAAGAUAAUGGAGAAGCAAAUGAAGCAAUUCGUCCUGCAGUGUGGAGGCUGAAGUGGAAUGAUUGUUUUCUGUGGCGUUGUUUACAGCGAGGCCUUGUGCGAGUCCUGAUACAGACCGUUUGUCCCGCCCCCAAGAGAAGCAUCAGGUCUGUUUUGACGUGAUGAUGCCACACCUCCAUCACAGAACAGAGGAACCAGACACCUGGAUGUGGUUGUGUUCAGGUGACUUCACCUUUAGUUCAGCAGGAUUUCCAGUAUGUGGUCGUACAUGUAACUGAAGCCAUUUGCUUGAAUGAAAACCUGUUUUUUUAUUGCUGAAUUUGUACAUAUCAGAGCUCUGUUUCAAUAAAGAUUGGAAAUACCUCUCA